CUAAAAAAAAAAAAAAAAGGAAUCGUAUGAAAAUUAACUAAAUACCUUGACGUAAGACUUAUUAAAAUAUACACCAAGCAAUAAGUUUUAGAAUUUUCUGAUGUAGAUGUAGUUGUUGUUUUGCACUAUUUCGUGGUCGUCUUCAAUGUUCAUAAACAUCUCUAUUUAAAACGUAACAUGUUUAUAUGUUUUAAACAGAUAGUACUUAAAAAUGAAUGCAAUUAUUGGUUUAUGUCAUUUCUGCGAAACUCACGGACCGCGUCCUUUAUUUUGUACCUUUACAACUCAUGACGAGAAAAAUACUACCGAAGCUUCGAAAACCACAGUACAAUGUAACGGGUGUAAUUCUCUUGGCUCUGACACGGUUUUUGUGUCAAGAGAUGAUGAUGGCACCAUAUUCUGCAGUAGGGAGUCUGUUGCCAAUUCUGACGUGACUGCGUUUUUACGCCAAGCGGCAAUUAGAAGCAUCACUUGUGAAGUAAGCUGGAGCAAAGAAGGUGGAGUAGUUUACUUCAGUGACACAAGGGGCCAUGUACUAAGUCACAUGUUUCAAGUGAAGGAUACACAUGCUAGAGGACUUAAACGUUGGUUUUCAAUAGUUGUACUGAUGAAAGACAAGAUGCUCCUACUCAAUGUCACACCAGUGCUUUCUGAACACAUGAAGAAAAUAUCUAAAGAGUUGCAAGAAUUAGCAGAGGUGGUAUAUAAUGAUGAACAGAAAAUCUGUUCACAAAGGACACUCAGAUUGAAAACAGGUAGAAAUGAUUUUGGACAAUCAAGAUCACUUUCACAAUUAACUGGUGAUGAAAACGUCUACAAGAGACUUCACUCUCACUUCAUAUGGAUGUUAAAGACUGGAGCUCUCACAUACUCAGAAAAAUUAUUCACAAGUGAAGAUUUACUAAAGAAAUUAUGUCCACAGUCAACCAUGAAUACAAUAUGUGAAGUUGAUAUUUGUAACAAUGAUGAAAAGUAUAUUGCACUGAGAGAAUUGGAAAAUUUAAUAUCGAAAACUGUUUUUAGAGUUCUGCUUUAUUGUACUCUGACUGGAAUUCAUAUAUAUAUAAAGUCACAGCAUUCAAUAGUUAUUAUAAAAGGUCUAUCAAGAUUAUUACCAGUAAACAAUACAAGCUCACUUCAUUUUCGAAUAAGUGAUUACACAGAACUGGUUACGCCUACUGAAACUGUUUGCAUAGUGGAGGAAACGGAAAACAAUAAUUUUAGUUGCAGAUGGCAUGGGACUUUACCUGCGAAAUGUCCAACAAUCAUGAACAAAAUAGAAGCAGCGAUAACCAACACUUCCUUUAAUGAUGCACUUCUUCAUCAGCAUAUUAAGACAUUACAACUGGAAUGGCUUGGAUGUCGCGAGACACGACUAAGAGAAUUUGAUGGUCGAGGGAUGAACAACAUGAUUGUAUGAAACGUUAUGAAAGCCUGUGACAAUAUGGGAAAAUAAUCAAACUUGAGAAAAUGUAAAAAACUUAUCUAAAUUAACAUGUGUCUAUAGGCGACAAUUACCACCUUUUAUCUGAUUAGCAAAAGCAGUAAAGGCUGCAAUUGCUGCAUCGGGUCCAAAAUCAGAAAGUGUAAUUAAUCUGAAGAAAGUUCUUGGCUUUACUCCUCAAGAUGAUGUACUAAUAACUUAUUGGAUUAAAGCCUUUUGUAAUUAGCAAUAAUAUUGAUAACUUUAUCUGUAAUAAUAUUACUUUUGUAAUUAUUUAAAAAUAUCAGUUCAGUAUUAUUUA